rnacentral:rRNA from 1 species
AUUGAACGCUGGCGGCAGGCCUAACACAUGCAAGUCGAACGAGUGGCGGACGGGUGAGUAAUGUCUGGGAAACUGCCUGAUGGAGGGGGAUAACUACUGGAAACGGUAGCUAAUACCGCAUACCAUCAGAUGUGCCCAGAUGGGAUUAGCGUGUUGGUGGGGUAACGGCUGACCAAGGCGACGAUCCCGAGCUGGUCUGAGAGGAGGAAGAGCGACACUGGAAUUGAGACACGGUCCAGACUCCUACGGGAGGCAGCAGUGGGGAAGAUUGCACAAUGGGCGCAAGCCUGGUGCAGCCAUGCCGCGUGUAUGAAGAAGGCCUUCGGGUUGUAAAGUACGUUCAGCGGGGAGGCGUUACCCGCAGAAGAAGCACCGGCUAACUCCGUGCCAGCAGCCGCGGUAAUAC